ACUCAGUGUUUGUUCUUUUCUCAGUCAGUGCAGAUCACCAUGAUCAUUUUCACUGUACUUCUGCUCUCAGCUCUUAAAGGUAACAGAGCUGAAGACGUCAUCACUCCAGACAGAGAUGUUGUUUUUGCUGUUGAAGGUCAAAAAGUUACACUUUCCUGUAACUACAAUGGAACUGAAUAUGGUCUUCACUGGUAUCGACAGUAUUCAGGUUCACCUCCACAGUUCCUUAUAUUGGAAUAUUCAGGGAAUCCUAUUACUGCUACACCUCCAGUUCCUGGAAUAUCAAUUGAACAUGCAAAAAAACGGAAGAAAGUGGAUCUGAUCAUCUCCUCUGCUGCAGUAUCAGACUCUGCACUCUACUACUGUGCCAUGAGGCCCACAGUGACAGGAAACCCACCUACACUGUACAAAAACCCCUUACUGUAGCAAAAGCUAAAACUGACAAUGGCUCAUUAUUUAACAAACCUUAGAAGCUGAACAAUGAAGGCUCAGAAUGACAAUGCGAGCUGAUAUUUUAGCGAUGAUAAAUUAUGUGGAAACAGCAGAUUUGUGCAGAAGUUGAAACAUGAUAUACUGUGAAAAGGACACAAAUGAAUAGUAAUAUCUCCUCUGAAAAUGCAUAUAUAGUAUGAAUAUUCAAACUUAAAACUACAAUGUGUCUGACUUUAUUUUUGUUUCAUUAUACAGUCCAUAUCGAAAUGUUGAAUGUUAUGUUCAUUUCUAACUCACAGUUUGAUAAUGUAUUCUACAUGAUUCUUAAUUCUCUACAUAUUCCAUCCACCUUUAGGACCACAUUUAGGAAAACAGUUCUAACCUAGAUCAGUGUCUAUGUCUGUUCAUUCUCAGGGUGAAUAAUGUUUAUAACAGAGGUGUAAUGAGGGAAACACUUCAAAACUUUAAGGAAACAAAUGCUACAUGAUCCAGCAAUUAUCACAUUCAUGUAAAAGUUCUGUGAAGCCAGCAGGGGGAGACACACACAUUUAAUUCUCAGUAGUUCUGAGCAUGCAUGCAUUUUUAAUCCGUCAAUUCUUUUCAGUCAGGAGAGAUUACAGAACACUGGCUGAGAUAUCUGUGCAUUUGUACUGCAUUAUUGGUAUGAAAGACUUCAUCAAUCAUUUCUCAAAUCAGCCAAUUAUUUC